rnacentral:misc_RNA from 1 species
AAGGAGCAACUCCUCAUGCACCCCGAGUAGUCGGGGACGGUAAACGCAUGCAGGCAGAGCCAUUACGGAUUCACAGGUAAUCCGGUGGUGCUCAUGGGUGGAACGCUGACAAGCAUUUUCUUCAUUACUGCGGGCCCGAGUGCCGGCAGGAAGAAAGUUAUAUCGGUGCACUGUUGGGUCCUGAGAGAACACGCAAUGUGUUUGAUCAGCGACGAUGACUUACGAAGGCGGUUGGCCGUGUGGCCGGCGUUGGUAGGGGUUGUUGUGUGUUGUUUGAGAACUGCACAGUGGACGCGAGCAUCUUUGUU